UGGUUAAGUUAGAAAGGGCGCACGGUGGAUGCCUUGGCACUAGGAGCCUAAGAAGGACGCGACGAACGGCGAAACGCCUCGGGGAGCUGUAAGUAAGCUUUGAUCCGAGGAUAUCCGAAUGGGGGAACCCACCAUCCGUAAUGGGAUGGUACCCGUAUCUGAAUACAUAGGAUACGAGGAGGCAGACCUGGGGAACUGAAACAUCUAAGUACCCAGAGGAAGAGAAAGCAAAUGCGAUUUCCUGAAGUAGCGGCGAGCGAAACGGAAACAGCCCAAACCAAGAGGCUUGCCUCUUGGGGUUGUAGGACGUCUCAUACGGAGUAAGAAAAGACGAGGAUAGGUGAAGCGAUCUGGAAAGAUCCGCGGUACAAGGUAACAGCCCUGUAGCCGAAAUCCUCGUCUCUCCGAGACGGAUCCUGAGUACGGCGGGACACGUGAAACCCCGUCGGAAUCCGGGAGGACCAUCUCCCAAGGCUAAAUACUCCCUAGUGACCGAUAGUGAACCAGUACCGUGAGGGAAAGGUGAAAAGCACCCCGGAAGGGGAGUGAAAGAGAUCCUGAAACCGUGUGCCUACAACUAGUUGGAGCCCAUUUACGGGUGACAGCGUGCCUUUUGUAGAAUGAACCGGCGAGUUACGAUCCCGUGCAAGGUUAAGCUGAAUAGGCGGAGCCGCAGCGAAAGCGAGUCUGAAUAGGGCGAAAUAGUACGUGGUCGUAGACCCGAAACCGUGUGAUCUACCAUGUCCAGGGUGAAGUUCAGGUAACACUGAAUGGAGGCCCGAACCCACGCACGUUGAAAAGUGCGGGGAUGAGGUGUGGGUAGGGGUGAAAUGCCAAUCGAACUCGGAAAUAGCUGGUUCUCCCCGAAAUAGCUUUAGGGCUAGCCUCGAGGGAAGAGUAUUGGAGGUAGAGCACUGAUUGGACUAGGGGUCCCCACAGGAUUACCGAAUUCAGUCAAACUCCGAAUGCCAAAUACUUAUCCUCGGGAGUCAGACUGCGAGUGCUAAGAUCCGUAGUCAAGAGGGAAACAGCCCAGACCAUCAGCUAAGGUCCCAAAGUAUACGUUAAGUGGAAAAGGAUGUGGAGUUGCCCAGACAACCAGGAUGUUGGCUUAGAAGCAGCCACCAUUUAAAGAGUGCGUAAUAGCUCACUGGUCGAGUGACUCUGCGCCGAAAAUGUACCGGGGCUAAACGUAUCACCGAAGCUAUGGAUU
rnacentral:rRNA from 2 species